UCGAGCGGACUUGAUGAGAAGCUUGCUUCUCUGAUGGUUAGCGGCGGACGGGUGAGUAACACGUAGGCAACCUGCCCUCAAGCUUGGGACAACUACCGGAAACGGUAGCUAAUACCGAAUAGUUGUUUUCUUCUCCUGAAGAGAACUGGAAAGACGGAGCAAUCUGUCACUUGGGGAUGGGCCUGCGGCGCAUUAGCUAGUUGGUGGGGUAACGGCUCACCAAGGCGACGAUGCGUAGCCGACCUGAGAGGGUGAUCGGCCACACUGGGACUGAGACACGGCCCAGACUCCUACGGGAGGCAGCAGUAGGGAAUCUUCCGCAAUGGGCGAAAGCCUGACGGAGCAAUGCCGCGUGAGUGAUGAAGGUUUUCGGAUCGUAAAGCUCUGUUGCCAGGGAAGAACGCUUGGGAGAGUAACUGCUCUCAAGGUGACGGUACCUGAGAAGAAAGCCCCGGCUAACUACGUGCCAGCAGCCGCGGUAAUACGUAGGGGGCAAGCGUUGUCCGGAAUUAUUGGGCGUAAAGCGCGCGCAGGCGGUCAUUUAAGUCUGGUGUUUAAUCCCGGGGCUCAACCCCGGAUCGCACUGGAAACUGGGUGACUUGAGUGCAGAAGAGGAGAGUGGAAUUCCACGUGUAGCGGUGAAAUGCGUAGAUAUGUGGAGGAACACCAGUGGCGAAUGCUACUCUCUGGGCUGUAACUGACGCUGAGGCGCGAAAGCGCGGGGAGCGACCCGGAUUAGAUUGCCUGUGUAUCCACAUCUCUAAACAAUUUGAUGCCUAGGUGUAGGGGGUUCUCUCUCCUCUGGGGCCCGAAGUUCACAUUUACCCACUGCCACGGGGGGUUUGAGCGCCGGGAGACUAGCACCUCAGAGAAAUUGACCGG
rnacentral:rRNA from 1 species